AAAGUGCUUGCUGCCAAACCUGGUGACCUGGGUUUGACUCCUGGAAUCCAUAUGGUAGGAGGAGAGAACUCACCCCUGACAGUUGACCUCUGAUAUCCACUUGUACACACUUGCACAUGUAUUCACAUGUAAACAUACACACAAAUGUGAUGAAAUGUACCUUUCAAACCCAAUUGUGGUGGCACACACCUUUAAUCCCAGCACUCAGGAGGCAGAGGCAGGCGGAUCUCUGUGAGUUUGGGGUCAGCCAGAUUUAUAUAGUGAGUUCCAGGGCAGCCAGAGCUACUCAGAGAAGCCCUGACUCAAAAACAAACAAGCUAACAAAGGAGACUAGACUGGACAAACAUUUUCUUCCAGAGCUUUGCAUUAAGAAUGACUUGUGCUGGUGAGCUGGCUCGGGGGAUGAAGGUGCUUCCUGCUAAGCCUGACCACUGGAGUACAAUCACCAGAACCUAUCUGGUUUGGGAAAGCACUGACGUCUACAAGUUGACCUCUGACCUCCACACAUGUGCCAUAGUACCCUUACCUGCCCCGUGAGUAAAAAUACAUUGUUAACAAAAUGAACAAAUUUGCAGUUAAGACUGUAACUCAGUUUGUAGAGGGUUUGCCUAAUUUGGUUCAGUUCCUGGGACUACACAAGCCAGGUAUUGUGGGAUGUUUCUAGAACUUUCUAUGAAGCCAAGGAUGAACAUGACUUUCUUGCUCCUACCUCCUAAGUGCUGGUAUAUGCUACUGUGCUGCCAUACCUGGUUCAUGGUUGCUUUGUUUCUGUGCUAACAUACAGAGUAUACAAUCUUUGUGUCCCUUCAAAUACGUUGCAAAUAUCUCUGCUAAAUGUAUUAUGAUAAAAUCAGGACCCUGUCAGUUGUCAAAUCACAGUAUUCAUGAAGCUUACACACUCACAACUCGGUGGCUGAAACGAAAGGUCUUGGUUAUCAAAGACUGAGGGACAGGCAUACCCUAGUCUGCUGCACUCUUGUUUAUCAAGCAUGGGCAUACCCUGGUCUGCCGCAUUCAUGGUCACCAAGCAAGCAUGGUGAGUCGCCACUGAACAAGUCACUGAAUGGGGACAUACUAGGAAAGCUAGGGUAGUAUGUAUGCAACAUGCAAGCAAGCAAACAUGGAAUUGUGGCAAAAGUGUCUAAGGAGGUUUUGUGCUCACAAGAGUGUGCGUGCCCGUGUUUAUUUGUCUUUGAAGGCCAGAAGAGGACAUCAGCUCCCACCCCGCCUCACCCUUCCCCUGUCACUGGAGUUAUAGACAGUUGCCAAACCCCUGACAUAGGUACUAGGAGCUAAACUCAGGUCCUCUGAGAGAGCAACAAGUGCUCCUAGCCACUGCUGAGCUAUUUUGCCAGCUCCUACUUUUCAACAACAAAGGGGGCGUGUUUACAUAUGAAUGACAAUCUCAUGAAUCUCUUGCCUUCCACCUUCUUUGAGACAUAACCUCUUCACUGUUUUUUCUAUUCCAUAUGCUAAGCUACCUGGCCCAUGACCUCCUGGGUACUUUCAUGUCUCCAACUUCCAUCUCCGGAAAGAAGUCCUGGGCCAAGUUCUCUGUAGGUUCUGAGGUUUCAAACUCAGAUCUUCCCUGUACCAAAGGGCUUUACCAGCUGAGCCAACUACCAGCACCCCAUGUUUCCCUGAAGCCACUCCAACUCUUUUUGUUCUCUCUCUGUACCGCGUUAGUUGAUUCUGGUUCUCCGCAUCAACCUUUGUGGACUUUUUGGCAAAGAUCAUGUGAGUUUCUUUGCCCAGCUGCUGCUGAAGAAUUUGAUAGCUCCUGGCACAUCUCAGUUUAGGUACUUUCUGCCUCCAGGAGUAAAUCCCCAGUCUUAUUUGGGAACGAAAAGUGUGUUGCCUACCUGUGGAAGAAGGAGAAGAAGAAGACGACAAAGAAGAGGAUGAGGAGAAUCAAAAGAAGAAUCAGAAAAAAAAGAGGAGAAGGAGGAAGAAGAGGAAGAGGAAGAGAGCAACAACAGAGGUGAGAAUCCAGGUGCGGAAGUGCACACUUGUAACCCUGGCCCUCCGGAGGCGGAGGCAGGAGGAUCAAGAGUUCAAAGUCAUCUUCAGCUACAAAUGAAGUUGGAGACCAAUCCAGACCCUCUCUCAGAAAAAAAGGAAAAAGGAGAAAGCAAAAGGAAAGGAGGGGGAGACCGAGAAAGAGAAGAGGGAAGGAAAGGGAAGUCAACAGAACUCAAGGUCAGCCUGGGAGGGUGAAUGAGGCAUUGUUGUCUCAAACAAACAAACAAACAAAAAAGAAAAGAAAAAAGGAGCUGCAAUGACUCAGCUGCUUGAAGACCUGAGUUUAGUCCCAGGAGCCCAAGUAGAAAUAAAAAAAUUGUCUUCUGACCUACACAUGCUCGUGCACACACACACAAUGCAUGCAUCCAUGCAUACACGUUUGUAAUAAACAAUGAACAUUUAAAAAUACUUAAUUUGUUUUUAUUUUAUGCGUACGGAUGUUUUGCCUGCAUGUAUCUCUGUGAACCAUGUGUGUUCGGUGCCAGAGGAGGAGCUAGCAUUAUAGACAGUUGUAAGCGGCCACACGGCUACCAGGAAUCAAACCUAGGUCCCCUGGAAGAGCCCUCAAAUGUUAAUUGCUGAGCCAUUUCUCCAGCUCCAAUAAAUAAGAAUUUUAAAAACCCAUGGUGCAAAUCAAAUAUACAACAAACUAUUUGCUAUUUUGCUAUUUGCUUGUUUGUUCAUCUGGAGACAGGAUCUCACUCCCUAUCCCAGCCUGGUCUUGUACUCUUGAUCAUCCAAAGACAAUUGGUCCCAUGUGGAACCUGAAGCUGUGGCACAUGCCAAUGAGCCUAGCACUUAGAAGGCAGAGGAAGGAGGAUUGCCAAAAGCUCAAGGCUAGUCUGGUCUCCUUUGAGAAUUUCAGUCUAGCCAGGGAUAAAAUGCCAGACCCUGUCUCAAAAGAAUAGCAAAAAGCAUCAGCGCUCAAGGACCUGUCCUAAACCAGGUUAGCAUUUGCAUAUGUCCUGCACACAUGCUUCUCUGUACUGCAGACAAUGUCUAGAUGACUUAAAAACAAAACAAAAUAAAACAAAAAAACACCUCAUAUGCCUGGCUGGUGGCGCACGCCUUUAAUCCUCAGCACUAGGGAGGCAGAGGCUGGCAGAUUCUGAGUUUGAAGCUAGCCUGGUCUACAGAGUUCUAGGACAGGUAGGGUUACACAGAGAGACCCUGUCUCAGAAAAGAAAGAAAACAAAUAAACAAAAAACCUCAUAUGAUGAAACUUGUGAUAAAAGUAAUUGUCCUUAUACUGUGUUGUUUAGAGUGGGGUAUAGGAAUAAAUAUACCGGGGGUUGGAGAAAUGGCUCAGUAGUUAAGAGCACUCCUUGCUCUUGCAGAAGGGACCUGAGUCUCGCUCCCAGCACUUAGGUCAGGUGGGGGG
rnacentral:lncRNA from 1 species